CCCAUGUUCUGGUAUUAUUUGACCUCAUUGUGUGUUAGGCGAAUGGACUUGAGCUUGAAAGCAGUUUCAUCCCUACCCAUUCCCCUUUGCCCACUUUGAAUGAAGCUGACCUCUAUGUGUGCAUGUUGGUUGUUCAGUCGUGUCUGACUCUGUGACCCCAUGGACUGUAGCCCACCAGGGUCCUCUGUCCGUGGAAUUCUCAGCAAGAAUACUGGAGUAGGUACCCAUUCUCUUCUCCAGGGGAUCUUCUUGACUCAUGGUUCAAACCCACCUCUCCUGCAUUGCAGGCAGGUUCUUUACCAUCUGACUCAUCAGGGAGACCCAGCUACCUUCUAUAUCAAAAGACAAACCAUGGAUAUUGACUCCUGUCUCGAAAAUUCAUCUAGUCACCACCCCCUUAUUUGCCAGCUUUGACUUCUGUGUGUGAAUUUUUGCUUUUUCUGGCUUUCCAACCCCCUUUCGAUUCCUCAUUUCAUCUCUGGAUGGUAACGUUAGCACCCACCCACUCCUUGUUGACAAUCAUUGUGGAUCUUUCUUGGAUCAACUUCCAUUCUCUUCUUCAUGUGUCAUUUGUAUAUUUUCCUCCAAUGCCCUUGCACAAUGACACAUGUCUUUGCAGAGAAGAGACACAUGUCUUCAGCCUGCCUCGCAGAAUAGACCAUCUUCUUGUUCAGAACCAGCUUGCUCAAAGUGCACUAUCUUGGCACCUCCUUCCUUUGUCUGCUACAGUUCAGUACUGAAGUUCUACUCUGCUAGACACUGAAGGUACAAAGAUGAGUAAGACAACAAUCCCUGCUUUGGGGGGAAACUUGCAGUAUGGUGGAAGAGAAAGAACAGCAAACAAGCAAAAUAUAUCAGUAAAGAUUCAGUUUGGGUGACCAACUUAGGCAAGAAAGUAGGGGAGUUAGAGGCAAUGAGUUUUUCAGUUUGUUGCAUCAUGUAACUUAAAAAGUUGAAGAGUAAACUGGCUUCAGGCAUGAUGUCAUCCAGGACCUCUAAUGAAGUCCUGAGGAAAGUAUCAUUCUCUCCAUUCUACUUUGCUCUGUCUUUAUUCUCAGAUAGCCUCUCUUUAUAUUAUUAUGUCCUCCACUCCCAUCCAGAUGCUGCAAUCCUAUUACACCAUUGAGGGUAGCUUAUAACCCCCAAGAAUAUAACUCUGUCCCAAUAGCUCUAGUACAAGUCUAGGAUGGGCCUCCUAUUGGCUUGAUUCAACUUACAUGCCUGUUUUUGAACCAGUUACAGUGGUCAAGUGCAUUGCUCUGAC
ensembl:lncRNA